AGGACGAACGCUGGCGGCGUGCUUAACACAUGCAAGUCGAGCGGAAAGGCCCUUCGGGGUACUCGAGCGGCGAACGGGUGAGUAACACGUGAGUAACCUGCCCCAGGCUUUGGGAUAACCCUCGGAAACGGGGGCUAAUACCGGAUAUUCACUUUCCGUGGCAUCAUGGUUGGUGGAAAGUUUUUCGGCUUGGGAUGGGCUCGCGGCCUAUCAGCUUGUUGGUGGGGUGAUGGCCUACCAAGGCGACGACGGGUAG
rnacentral:rRNA from 1 species